ACGCUUCAUACAUGCAAGUCGAGGGGCAGCAUAAAGUACUUGUACUUUGAUGGCGACCGGCGAACGGGUGCGUAACGCGUAUGCAACUUACCUUUUACUAGAGAAUAGCCAAGAGAAAUUUUGAUUAAUGCUCUAUACUCUUAUUAACUCACAUGAGUUUUUAAGAAAAGCUCCGGCGGUAAAAGAUGGGCAUGCGUCCUAUUAGCUUGUAGGUGAGGUAACGGCUCACCUAAGCUCCGAUAGGUAGGGGUCCUGAGAGGGAGAUCCCCCACACUGGUACUGAGACACGGACCAGACUUCUACGGAAGGCAGCAGUAAGGAAUAUUGGACAAUGGAGGCAACUCUGAUCCAGCGAUGCCGCGUGAAGGAAGACGGCCCUAUGGGUUGUAAACUUCUUUUAUACAGGAAGAAACCUUUCCACGUGUGGAAAG
rnacentral:rRNA from 1 species